rnacentral:rRNA from 1 species
UACGUAGGGGGCAAGCGUUGUCCGGAAUUAUUGGGCGUAAAGAGCGUGUAGGCGAUCCGGUAAGUCAGCUGUGAAAGUCAAGGGCUCAACCCUUGAAUGCCGGUUGAUACUGUCGGGCUAGAGUCCGGAAGAGGCGAGUGGAAUUCCCGGUGUAGCGGUGAAAUGCGCAGAUAUCGGGAAGAACACCCGUGGCGAAGGCGGUUCUCUGGGACGGUACUGACGCUGAGACGCGAAAGCGUGGGGAGCGAACAGG